UGAAAGUCCAACAGAGGAGGAAGUCGGGGGUGGAGGACAGCAAACGGGUUCCCGAGUCUCCACCAGAAUGGAUGAGGAGGACGUCGGCAUUUUUUUAUUUUUUAUUGACAAUGACCACCUCAUCCAGAUGGUGGAGGAAUGACCACCGUUGUGAGACCACACCGACAGCCGCCACGCAUACCACCAAGCAACCCGGCUCCUCUGGCACGAGAUUUGUGAGGCCCAAAUUGGGACGACCUCGGAGACAGGCAACGGGAUGAGUGCUGGUUGACAAUCCUGGUUCGGUGGCGGUCAAUGAGGGACCGCUACAAGAAAGAUUAUAACGAGGAACUUCGGCACCCAAGUGGUUCUGGAGGAGCCUCAAGGCAUACAUAUCGCUAUUCUGCCACCUUGGGGUUCCUACGAAGAACCCUAG